rnacentral:tRNA from 1 species
GGGCGGAUGGCGAAACUGGCAGACGCGCCAGACUUAGGAUCUGGUCCCGCAAGGGAUGGAGGUUCAAGUCCUCUUCCGCCCA